GAUGAACGCUGGCGGCGUGCCUAAUACAUGCAAGUCGAGCGAACGGACGAGAAGCUUGCUUUUCUGAUGUUAGCGGCGGACGGGUGAGUAAUACGUGGAUAACCUACCUAUAAGACUGGGAUAACUUCGGGAAACCGGAGCUAAUACCGGAUAAUAUUUUGAACCGCAUGGUUCAAAAGUGAAAGACGGUCUUGCUGUCACUUGUAGAUGGUUCCGCGCUGCAUUAGCUAGUUGGUAAGGUAACGGCUUACCAAGGCAACGAUGCAUAGCCGACCUGAGAGGGUGAUCAGCCACACUGGAACUGAGACACGGUCCAGACUCCUACGGGAGGCAGCAGUAGGGAAUCUUCCGCAACGGGCGAAAGCCUGACGGAGCAACGCCGCGUGAGUGAUGAAGGUCUUCGGAUCGUAAAACUCUGUUAUUAGGGAAGAACAUAUGUGUAAGUAACUGUGCACAUCUUGACGGUACCUAAUCAGAAAGCCACGGCUAACUACGUG
rnacentral:rRNA from 1 species